GUCAGAGGCCAGGGGGGGCAGAGGUCAUGGGCUCAGGGGUCAUGGGGGCAGAGAUCAUGGGCUCAGGGGUCAUUGGGGGUCAGGGGGUGAGCAGUGGGGUCCCAGGGCUGUGGGGUCCUGCUGCUGCAGCCGCUCUGCGGGGCAGGGGGCAGAGGUCAGGGGUCAUGGGGUGAGCAGUGGGGUCACAGAGACGUGGGGUGAUGGGAACGCAGUGAGGGAUAUGGGCUGUGGGGUGGGGUCACGGGGUCACAGGGUCAGCAGGUCACGGGGUCAGGAGGUCACGGGGUCACAGGGUCAGGAGGUCAUGGGGUCACGGGGUCAGGAGGUCACGGGGUCAGGAGGUCGCGGGGUCGCGGGCGCCCACCCCUCAGUUUGCGCAGUGACGCCUCCACCUCCGUCUCAAUCAGCGGGAAGUCCUGCCGGCUGGGGCACCUGCGGGCACCCCAUAGCGCCCCAUAGCACCCCAUAGCGCCCCAUAGUGCCCCACAGUGCCCCAUAGCACCCCACAGAGCCCCACAGUGCCCCACAGCACCCUAUAGCGCCCCACAGCACCCCAUAGCGCCCCACAGUGCCCCAUAGCAUCCCACA
rnacentral:lncRNA from 1 species